UACGGAGGGUGCAAGCGUUAUCCGGAUUCACUGGGCUUAAAGGGUGCGUAGGCGGGCAGGUAAGUCAGUGGUGAAAUCCUAGAGCUUAACUCUAGAACUGCCAUUGAUACUAUCUGUCUUGAAUAUUGUGGAGGUAAGCGGAAUAUGUCAUGUAGCGGUGAAAUGCUUAGAUAUGACAUAGAACACCAAUUGCGAAGGCAGCUCGCUACACGAAUAUUGACUCUGAGGCACGAAAGCGUGGGGAUCAAACAGG
rnacentral:rRNA from 1 species